AAGGAUCAUUACCUAGAGUUGUAGGCUUUGCCUGCUAUCUCUUACCCAUGUCUUUUAAGUACCUUACGUUUCCUCGGCGGGUCCGCCCGCCGAUUGGACAAUUUAAACCAUUUGCAGUUGCAAUCAGCGUCUGAAAAAACUUAAUAGUUACAACUUUCAACAACGGAUCUCUUGGUUCUGGCAUCGAUGAAGAACGCAGCGAAAUGCGAUAAGUAGUGUGAAUUGCAGAAUUCAGUGAAUCAUCGAAUCUUUGAACGCACAUUGCGCCCCUUGGUAUUCCAUGGGGCAUGCCUGUUCGAGCGUCAUUUGUACCUUCAAGCUCUGCUUGGUGUUGGGUGUUUGUCUCGCCUCUGCGUGUAGACUCGCCUCAAAACAAUUGGCAGCCGGCGUAUUGAUUUCGGAGCGCAGUACAUCUCGCGCUUUGCACUCAUAACGACGACGUCCAAAAGUACAUUUUUACACUCUUGACCUC
rnacentral:rRNA from 1 species